CGCCUUUUUGCUAUGCGCAGAAUAUAACGAUUCGAACCUGCUGCAGGUUCGAGUCUCACGCAGUGAGACAACGGAGCCGCUUGCGGCGACGGCCCGAAGGGCGAGCAAAGCGAGUCAUCCUGCACGACCCACCA
rnacentral:sRNA from 1 species